rnacentral:rRNA from 1 species
CAGUAGCCGCGGGAAUACGGAGGGUGCAAGCGUUAAUCGGAAUUACUGGGCGUAAAGCGCACGCAGGCGGUCUGACAAGUCAGAUGUGAAAUCCCCGGGCUUAACCUGGGAACUGCAUUUGAAACUGUCAGGCUGGAGUCUUGUAGAGGGGGGUAGAAUUCCAGGUGUAGCGGUGAAAUGCGUAGAGAUCUGGAGGAAUACCGGUGGCGAAGGCGGCCCCCUGGACAAAGACUGACGCUCAGGUGCGAAAGCGUGGGGAGCAAACAGGAUUAGAUACCCCGGUAGUCCCUGUCUCUUAUAA